UACGGAGGGUGCGAGCGUUGUCCGGAAUCACUGGGCGUAAAGGGCGCGUAGGCGGCCUGAUAAGUAGGGGGUGAAAUCCUGCGGCUUAACCGCAGGGCUGCCUUCUAAACUGUCAGGCUGGAGCACAGUAGAGGCAGGUGGAAUUCCCGGUGUAGCGGUGGAAUGCGCAGAUAUCAGGAAGAACACCCGUGGCGAAGGCGGCUCUUUGGGACGGUACUGACGCUGAGACGCGAAAGCGUGGGGAGCGAACAGG
rnacentral:rRNA from 1 species